rnacentral:rRNA from 1 species
CCUACGGGCGGCAGCAGUGAGGAAUAUUGGUCAAUGGGCGCGAGCCUGAACCAGCCAAGUCGCGUGAGGGAUGACGGUCCUACGGAUUGUAAACCUCUUUUGCCGGGGAGCAAGCGUGCGUUCGUGAACGCACGUCGAGAGUACCCGGAGAAAAAGCAUCGGCUAACUCCGUGCCAGCAGCCGCGGUAAUACGGAGGAUGCGAGCGUUAUCCGGAUUUAUUGGGUUUAAAGGGUGCGUAGGCGGGAUGCCAAGUCAGCGGUAAAAAUGCGGUGCUCAACGCCGUCGAGCCGUUGAAACUGGCUGUCUUGAGAUGUCGAGAGGUAUGCGGAAUGCGCAGUGUAGCGGUGAAAUGCUUAGAUAUUGCGCAGAACUCCGAUUGCGAAGGCAGCAUACCGGCGGCGAUCUGACGCUGAGGCACGAAAGCGUGGGUAUCGAACAGGAUUAGAUACCCGUGUAGUC